rnacentral:rRNA from 1 species
ACGUACGUCUACGAGAAGGUUAGUUAGUAUAUGGCUCAGGAUGAACGCUGGCGGGCGUGCUUAACACAUGCAAGUCGAACGGAGUUUUAAACAGAAGUUUCGGAUGGAAGUUUAAAAACUUAGUGGCGGACGGGUGAGUAACGCGUGGGUAACCUGCCUCAUACAGGGGGAUAACAGUUAGAAAUGACUGCUAAGACCGCAUAAUAUAGCGAAACCGCAUGAUUUUGCUAUCAAAUAUUUAUAGGUAUGAGAUGGGCCCGCGUCUGAUUAGCUAGUUGGUGGGGUAAAAGCCUACCAAGGCGACGAUCAGUAGCCGGCUUGAGAGAGUGACCGGCCACAUUGGGACUGAGACACGGCCCAAACUCCUACGGGAGGCAGCAGUGGGGAAUAUUGGACAAUGGGGGAAACCCUGAUCCAGCGAACCGCCGCGUGAGUGAAGAAGUAUUUCGGUAUGUAAAGCUCUAUCAGCAGGGAAGAUAAUGACAGUACCUGACUAAGAAGCCCCGGCUAACUACGUGCCAGCCGCUGC